GGACCCGCACAAGUAGUGGAGCAUGUGGUUUAAUUCGAAGAUACGCGCAGAACCUUACCAACACUUGACAUGUUCGUCGCGACUCUAAGAGAUUAGAGUUUUCGGUUCGGCCGGACGAAACACAGGUGCUGCAUGGCUGUCGUCAGCUCGUGUCGUGAGAUGUUGGGUUAAGUCCCGCAACGAGCGCAACCCUCACUUUUAGUUGCCAUCAUUAAGUUGGGCACUCUGAAAGAACUGCCAGUGAUAAGCUGGAGGAAGGUGGGGAUGACGUCAAGUCCUCAUGGCCCUUACGUGUUGGGCUACACACGUGCUACAAUGGUAUCUACAACAGGAAGCAAAACGGCAACGUUAAGCAAAUCCCGAAAAGAUACCUCAGUUCGGAUUGCACUCUGCAACUCGAGUGCAUGAAGCUGGAAUUACUAGUAAUCGUGGAU
rnacentral:rRNA from 1 species